rnacentral:lncRNA from 1 species
AAAAGCCACAGAGGCAAGGCUGAACUCUAGGUCCUCUGACUCAAAGACAACUGUUCUUUCAAUUAAAAAACAGUACUUGUCCAUAAAAGUACCUUAAUAGCAAAAAGAACAAAAGAGUAAGAGGACUGGAGCAUGGGCUUCUAGAGGGUCACUUACUUGGACAAGCAUUCAGGAGCUCCUGCCAGAGAUCUGUCAUAUUGUGAAGAACAAAGGUGCUUUAUAAACAGUAGGAAAAACUGAAUGAAACAGGAUAUAGGAUGCAGUACUUAGUGCUGAAAGUUUCCUCUUGAGGAAAUCUUCCAUGGUGAGUGUGCCAUUCCCUGCUUCAAAAAGUUCGUUGGGUUAAAAUCGGGGAGUCUGGGUGAGUACAUACGCUUUAUAAUCUACUACUCACUCCUGUUGGUAAACAUGAGGAGAAGGGUGAAGGCUUCACGAUCCAUAGUUUUCAAGCAGAGUUUGCUUUCCUCCCACAGGUGAGGAAAAUGUCAUGUCCUUUGGAGAGACAUGAACAAAACCUGGAGAACCAGGAAACUGAAAUUUGACUCUUCAUGGCAGAAAGCACAAAGCAUAGGUAACAGAAGCUCCUGAUGUUUGCCCAUGCUCCCUCCUGCCCACCAAGUAUCUCUUCUCUUUUUCUUGUGUAAUACCGUUGGAUACUUUAUAGUGCAUCCUAUCUACACUAAGCUUGAUCAUAUUAAAAACGGUCGGUUCUAGAAUCCUUUUGCAAUAACUGAUGCUGUGUCAGUAUGUCUGCUGAUGGUGGAUAUAUAUGUGAAAUUGAUUGUCUGAACUCAGAACACUAAAUGGCAUUAAAUCAGUCUAUGUAAUAUAAAGCAAUGCACAGCCCCUCUCCAAUUUACUGUCCAUUCACUGUUUUUCUUCCUACUUGAGUUUUAGAGAAAAUUGAAGCCAAAGUUCUGGACGUCCUUCCCACCAUUCCCUUCCAAGGAAAGUUUGAAAAU